GUGCGUUGGCUGGAGGGGAUGUCUGGAGGAGCUGGGAAGCAACCAGAUGAUUGACAGCGAUUCAGGCGAGACUCGACAUGGAGGGGACAGGCGAACAGACCUGCUUCUUCCUUUGUGUUGCCAGUCAGGUCCUCCCUCUGCAGUCUUACACAGGAAGAAGAUUUAUAACAGCUGCAUGCAAUGCCAGUGUCUCAAAGAGACAGUAUCACGCCAUGUGGAGGAUUUUCAUAUGGGGUUUAACUUUGCUCCACUGAAUUGGAAAGUUGUAUGUAGAUUUCUCUAAUGGGAUAGAGAACUUUCACUCCAGAUGGAAUAAUCAGG